GGUGAACGCUGGCGGCAUGCCUAACACAUGCAAGUCGAACGAACGCACAGUAAGAUUGCGCCUUCACGGUUGGCGAGGGGCGGGUGGGUGAGGCAUACAUCGGAAUCUUCUAUUUCGGGGAGGACUACGUAGGGACACUUCUAAUACUAGCUAAUAUUACCAACGGCUUAAAUCAAUGGUUCUACAGACCUUUCGUGACACAAAUAGCUGGUGUCGGAUUAGCUAGUUGGCGGGGUAAGGGCCCACCAAGGCGACGAUCCGUAGCUGAUCUGAGAGGAUGAUCAGCCACACUGGAACUGAGACACGGUCCAGACUCCUACGGGAGGCAGCAGUGGGGAAUAUUGGACAAUGGGCGCAAGCCUGAUCGAGCAAUGCCGCGUGGGUGAAGAAGGCUUUCGGGUUGUAAAGCCCUUUUGUUGGGGAAGAAAAACAGCAGGUGUAUACCCCGAUGUUCUGACGGUACCUAAAGAAUAAGCACCGGCUAACUUCGUG
rnacentral:rRNA from 1 species